rnacentral:sRNA from 1 species
GAGAGAGCGAGUCGGCGCUACUGGCGCCGGGUCGGUCCGGGUAGGCGCAGCGGGACUGGACCUGGGUGCCGAGCGGAGCCGCUGCCAUGGGCCUGGGCGUCAGCGCUGAGCAGCCCGCAGGCGGCGCCGAGGGCUUCCACCUCCACGGGGUGCAGGAGAACUCCCCAGCCCAGCAGGCGGGCCUGGAGCCCUACUUUGACUUCAUCAUCACCAUUGGGCACUCGAGGCUGGCCCAGACUUGUCUGAGGGUCCUAGCCUGGGCAUGAGGUGGCCUUGGAGUCAGCCCCAUUGCCCCCACAGAACAAGGAGAAUGACACCCUGAAGGCACUACUGAAAGCCAAUGUGGAGAAGCCC